GCGCCCUUAGCUCAGUUGGAUAGAGUGGCGGACUACGAAUCCGCAGGUCAGAGGUUCGAAUCCUCUAGGGCGCGCCA
rnacentral:tRNA from 1 species